rnacentral:misc_RNA from 1 species
ACACCUCAACUCUCAUGGUUUGCCAUGAUGAGCUUGGACUUUGGAGGUCUUGCUGGCCAGCGGUCGGCUCCUCUCAAAUGAAUCAGCUUGCCAGUGUUUGGCGGCGCCACAGGUGUGAUAACUAUCUACGCUUGUGGUUUCCUGCCAGGUUUCCUUCAGUGAUGGAGGUUCGCUGGAGCUCAUAAAUGUCCCUCCCCAGUGAGGACAACUUCAUGAAU